UGAGGAAUAUUGGACAAUGGGGGAAACCCUGAUCCAGCAACGCCGCGUGAAUGAUGAAGGUUUUCGGAUUGUAAAAUUCUUUCACCUGUGACGAUAAUGACGGUAGCAGGAGAAGAAGCCCCGGCUAACUUCGUGCCAGCAGCCGCGGUAAUACGAAGGGGGCUAGCGUUGUUCGGAUUUAUUGGGCUUAAAGAGCUCGUAGACGGUUUCCUAAGUAAGAUGUGAAAGCCUUGGGCUUAACCCAAGAAGUGCAUUUUAUACUGGGAGACUAGAGUUUGAUAGAGGAAAAUAGAACUUCUAGUGGAGAGGUGAAAUUCGUAGAUAUUAGAAGGAAUACCAGAGGCGAAGGCGAUUUUCUGGAUCAAAACUGACGUUGUUGAGCGAAAGCGUGGGGAGCAAACAGG
rnacentral:rRNA from 1 species